UUGAACUUAAAUAAAGGGCCAAAUCUGCAAGGCCUAUCUGCUGUUGGAAGGCUCCCAGUUCCCGUGCUGGGUAGGGGAGCAAUAACGAGAACGAUGACAUAGGGUAUUAAAGGUGGAAGUACGUUCUGAGGGUGAAAGCAUGGGAUUGCUUGUGAGCAGUUGGAGCCCCCAUGGAAGCAACAUGAAAGGCUCCAGAUGUUUGACUGGAGCUUGCACUCAAGCGCUCAGUGCCAGAGGUGAAGUUCAGAUUAGUAUUUAGGAGUUUGUCUCAAAUGUACCAACACAUUUCCCCACUCCCCAUUCUGGGUACCCAACAAUACUUGGUGCUCUGAAAAUCACUCUGCACUCUCAGACAGGCCAGCAUCAUCAAAGCCAUACCAUAGAUGGGAACUGUGGUGUUGAUAAUGUCUGAGGCCAUUGGAAGAGUUAUUAGCAGAGGAGGGCUUAGGACAGCGGGAAGGACUGAAUGCCUGGUCUGUGCCCCAGCAUCCUUUUGCCAGACUUCCUACUGAGUCAAGCAAUACUGCUGCUUUCCAUGAAGCUUAGAGACAGUGGACGGUGGAGUAGUGCUGUGACCUCGCUACAGAAGAAGGACUUGAGGAAGCGUGGGUUGCAGUCCUAGCUCUGCCUUGGAUUGGUGGUGAGAUCGCAAGCAGGCUGACUCGCCUCGCUCAGCCAAGCCUUUUCAUUCUGGAAAGGAAGGCAUUGGUUCUACCACCCCUCACAAGUAGGGCAAGUAACUCACUUGGGUACAGGUCAGGGGAAAGAGGAAUCAAAAGAGAAAAGACAGCUCUGGCAAGGACCAGUAGAGGCCACCAUUGCACUCCUUAAAGGAUUUUGGCAUUCCCAUCAUGGGAUGGAUUUUUAAUUCCCAGAACAGCUCCUCUGAGAUUUCCCCAGGACACUCACUGCAACAAUCGGCUCAGCAGGCAGUUCCUGAUGAACCAGAAGCUGAUCUCCAAUCUCAUCCUUUCAUUCCUCUGGAGCUCUCAGUUCUUGCAUCUAUAGACAAGACCCUGUUGUAGGAGGCAGCAGGUCAGUACUUGAACUCCAAUGGAGCAGGUGCAUUGCUGCACCUCUAUUUAACAACCUCAGCCUUGAAGUAUUACUGUGUAAGGUCCUUGCUUUGCUCCAAGCAGCCUGAGAAAUACUCACCAGUAAACUACUUUGAGUUGGCAUUACAGUGGCAUAUAUUAAAAUCAUGAUCUCCUUGUGAAUGCUCCUCUAGCCACCUAGAUGCAUGUUGACAGGGC